AUGGGGGAAACCCUGAUGCAGCCAUGCCGCGUGUGUGAAGAAGGCCUUCGGGUUGUAAAGCACUUUCAGUUGUGAGGAAAAGUUAGUAGUUAAUACCUGCUAGCCGUGACGUUAACAACAGAAGAAGCACCGGCUAACUCCGUGCCAGCAGCCGCGGUAAUACGGAGGGUGCGAGCGUUAAUCGGAAUUACUGGGCGUAAAGCGCACGCAGGCGGUUUGUUAAGCUAGAUGUGAAAGCCCCGGGCUCAACCUGGGAUGGUCAUUUAGAACUGGCAGACUAGAGUCUUGGAGAGGGGAGUGGAAUUCCAGGUGUAGCGGUGAAAUGCGUAGAUAUCUGGAGGAACAUCAGUGGCGAAGGCGACUCCCUGGCCAAAGACUGACGCUCAUGUGCGAAAGUGUGGGUAGCGAACAGGAUUAGAUACCCUGGUAGUCCACACCGUAAACGCUGUCUACUAGCUGUUUGUGAUUUUAAAUCGUGAGUAGCGAAGCUAACGCGCUAAGUAGACCGCCUGGGAGU
rnacentral:rRNA from 2 species